UUUUUUUUUUGGCAACUAGUUUAUUAAUAAUUUCAAUUGACGAAGUCUUAAAAAUUAUUUUUUAUGUAUUUAUAUGAAAUGUGAACUAUAUUAAUAAACCUGAAAUAGUCUUAUAAAAUAACUUGUGGUAUUUAAAAUUUUUUUUUUGUUUUUACUCUAGGGAAAGGGGACAGUAUGUGCAUUUUUUAAUAUUAUAUUUAGUUUUUAACAAUAAUCGUACAAAUCUUUUGUAUUAAGUUCGUAUGAUACGUGUCCUUAAAAAUACGCUCGUUUUGUUCAUUAUUAUAAUAUAUUCGUCAUAAUAUUUUUCUUUAUGUAUCGGUACGACCACUUGUCCCUUUUUUAUUAUUCUUACAAGUAAAACUUUUUCUUUAUAAUACUAAAUGUUUCGUUUUUAUUUGAAAAUGAACGAUAUGAUGACAUUAGAGUGCCAAAGAUAGAGCGAGUCAUUAGUCUUCAACGGACCCUAUAUUAGAUGUUGACAAAUAAUUUCGUAACAAUUUUCGGAUAUAGAACAUACAUUUUGAACAAAACAAAUAAAACAAAACCAAAAUUUGAUAUUUCUAACCUUUAAAAUUAUUUUAUCGAUUAUCACUAAUCAGUUAAUGAUAGUGUUGUCAACGAACAAAAAAACAAAAAAAAAUAUCAUAGUAAAUCAAUAAGUUAGGUUAGGUUUUUCUUAGAUUUCAUGAAAACCGCAUAGAAAAUUUAAUAGAAUCUUCAAUUACUACCUUCUGAACAAUAUUUCCAUUCAGAAAAGUUGCUAUGCGAAUACAUCAGAGCAGGAUUUCAAGAAGAAUUUUUGUACGUAGAACAAAAAAAUAAAUAAAAAAUAUCGUUGUGAAUAAAUAAUUUCCACAUUGAAAGCAAAAAUUCAUUUUCUAAAUUCUGAGUGGAUGAGUCUUUUUCUACUACAAAAAUAAUGAAAAAAACACAACUAUUAUCAUUCAAAUUAAUUAAAAGCAUAAUAUAUCAUUAAAAACUAAUACUACAGUUUAGUUAAAGUCAUUAGUAUACAAUAGACAAAUACUAUCCUGAAUCAUGAUAUCAAUACACAGUGCCAGUAAAUUUGUAUUAUAUUAAUUAGCGACACAGAAAACUAGAAAAAUAUAAAAUAAGCUGCGAUAUUCAAAAUUAAAUUAAAAUUUUUAUUUUCUAGAGCCAGAAUCUAGUAAGCAAAAAGGUAAGUGAUUAUUUUUGAUUUAACAAGGUUGUACAGUACUAGAAAGGAAACUAGGUAAUUAAUUAAAACUAUAUACAGGAUGAGUUACUAAGCCUGUUCUUUACGUACAGUUUAAUUUUAUACUAAUUUUUCCAGUUUUUCUACGUUUUUCCCGGUUUAAUUAACGGGAUUAAUUUAAUUAAUUAAAAAUUACCUUUCUAAUCAUUGAAAAUUGGAGCCAAAUUGUUUGUAGAAAGUUAUCUA